AGUGUGUGUUGGAAACAGAAGUCAGUAAGGAGUGUGCUGAGAAGUGAGGAGAAGAAUAAAACUGGAUAUGGUGAGUAGGUAUUUCAGGAAAUUUGUCUAUAGGAGGGAGAAAACAGACAAGGGAUAAUAAUUGAGGGGAGAGAAUUUUUGUAUUUUUGUUUGUUUAAUGAGUGUGUGAUUUUAAGGUAGGAGACAAUUGAGAAACUUAAAUGCUGAUUGGAAGGAUUGGGUAAGCAGCAAGAGGUAAAAGAUAUAAGAAAGAAAUUAUCUGUAGUUCUUGAGAAGGGAGGAGGGGAUGUGAUUCAGAGCACAGGUGGAACAGUUUCUCAGAGACACAAAAUAAGUAAGUUUGAAGCCAGGACUUGCCCCAGGUUUUCAUCCAAAAAAGGACAAAUUCACUUUGAGAGCAAGAUGAACAUUUUUCAUUUUUACACUUUCCCUUCUCUUUCCAUAGACAUGGCCAGUUUAGUGUGUGUGUGUGUGUGUGUGUGUGUGUGUGUUCCUGAGCUAGUUCAUCUAUUAUUCCCCAAGGAGCUCUUUUAAAUGAACCAAAAAGUAAAUGCAGUAUGGAUAAAUAGGAUAAAUAUGAGGAAUAUUGUGUUUUUGGCAAGUUAACAGUUCUGCUUGAAUAGAGACUAGAUAUUAAGGUCAGAAAUUGAAGGAGGUGAUAAUUUCUUGAGAAACAGCUCCAAGUCAGUUCUAGUUAUAAAGUCCUUAUUUUAAGCAGAAAAUAAUAUGAGCAGCAGGAAGUGGGAGAUAAGCCAGAAGAUCGUCAUAAGAUUACCCAGAAAGCUUUGACGAUUUAAACUAGCCUUAACGUCACUAACUUUCUCUGUCUAAACAUAGAUAGCGUUAGAAAGUAUUACCAGAUAAAAAGAGCUUCCAAUUUCACUCAGUACUCAGUUAUUCGCUCCCAGGUACACACAAGACAGAGAAGUCCCCUGCUCCCAAUUAGUGCUUUGGUGCUU
rnacentral:lncRNA from 1 species